rnacentral:rRNA from 2 species
UUUGGUGGCGAUAGCGAAGAGGUCACACCCGUUCCCAUACCGAACACGGAAGUUAAGCUCUCUAGCGCCGAUGGUAGUCGGGGGUUUCCCCCUGUGAGAGUAGGACGCCGCCAAGC